rfam:Triticum aestivum genome assembly, contig: Triticum_aestivum_CS42_TGACv1_scaffold_374785_5AL
CUCUUCGAUCCGGAGAUCAUGUCCAAGAUCUUGGCCGGGCUGGACAUGGACUACAAUCCAGUCGUCUCGGCCCUUGCAGCUCGGGUGGAGCCGAUCACCGUCCAGGAGCUAUAUAGCCAGCUCCUGAGCUUCGACG